CAGAGGUGUCAGCCGACGGAAGCGGCACCUAAGAUGGGUGGUGGAGGAGGAGAAGAUGAACGCCUGUUGUAGUUUUGAGAUCAGGUGGAGGCAUAGGGGUUGUAGCUCAUUCUACUAAUACUUCUCACCUAAUUUCCCCCAGGAAACCGGAGUAACCAGAAUCCAGGUCAAGCUUUUCCCUGAUGGGGAGAAAUCACUUAAGAAGCCAGUGGUUGUAAACCCCUCACAGAGUAGAUGUAGUGGAUAAUGUAGUGGAUACCAUCUUGCUCCACCCAGUCCCUUCUGGAAGGCCAAAUACUCCAUUCUUUGAUCAGGAAUCACCACCUGCCAUGGGCAGUUGCCCUGAGUGGCAGGGCACUGUCAUGCACAAGGCAGCCCAGGCCAGUGACUGUCUGUGGUGGGAUCAAAAGGCCUGCUCCCCGUGUUUCAAAUGGAAGAAUUCUAGCCCCGCCCCCAACAGGAUCACCUGAGCACUCAGUAGGACCUACACUGUGGGUCACCUUCUCCAUCUGUUUAAUUUUACCUUCUUCACUUUCUUCCUGCUGCACCUCCUAAGAGCACAUCCUGAAAAUCCUUUUGUCCAGAGUUCUCUGGUUGCAGAACCUAUUCCAGAGACCCAGUGUAAGACACGGUGUGCCACGUAAGAAAAGUGGAGGGGAAGCAAAGACAGGAACAACAGAGGGUUCUUUCAAAAAGCCAAGAAACAUGGUGGUAGCUGGAAGAAGCAGGAGAAAAGGUGCAGACACUUUGACUGGAAUCUCAAGGAAUGAAACCCUAAUUGACUGACCAGGGUGGAACCAGGAUCAGCUCUAGACAAGUAUGCUCAUGGCACUAUUGAUGAAAGACGGGGAAAUGACCACACUGUUUAGCAAAGAAGAGUACGUAAAUUGAUACUGUCCUACAGUGGAUUAAAAAUCAGUGAAAAUGAACAAGAGCUACACAUGUCAACAUUCAUAAACCUCAAACAAGUUUGAGCAACAACACAAAAGCAAGUCCUAAAAGAAUAUGUGCAAUCUGAUGCCAUAUAUCACAUACCAUUUCAAAAAUAUGAAAAACUGAGCAAUAUAUAAAGACGAGGUUACAUGUGUGCUAAUUCAAUAAAGUAAUGCAAAGAUUAGUAAAUACC